rnacentral:rRNA from 1 species
AGGAUCAUUAUCGAAUUUCGAGGGGAGGGGAAGAUGGGAAGGGGGAGACUGUCGCUGGCUUCCGAGCAUGUGCACGUCUACCUUUNUCGUCAACCCUUUCUCUUACUCUCACACCUGUGCACACAUUGUAGGUCCUCGAAAGAGGAUCUAUGUCUUUAUCAUCACACACAUCGUAUGUCUAGAAUGUAACACGAUCGUUGACCGACCUUCGUGGUCGGCCGGCGGUCGAUAAAAACAAAUACAACUUUCAGCAACGGAUCUCUUGGCUCUCGCAUCGAUGAAGAACGCAGCGAAUUGCGAUAAGUAAUGUGAAUUGCAGAUUUUCAGUGAAUCAUCGAAUCUUUGGACGCACCUUGCGCUCCUUGGUAUUCCGAGGAGCAUGCCUGUUUGAGUGUCAUGUAAUUAUCAACCAUGUCUCGAUUCAUUUCGAGGCUUGGCUUGGACUUGGGGGUUGCUGGCGGCGAAAGCUGUCGGCUCUCCUGAAAUGUAUUAGCGAUGGACAGCAAGUCUGACGUGCACGGCCUCGACGUGAUAAUGAUCGUCGUCGCUGGAGCGUCAGACGAGCGUGAUUACGUCCCUUUGCUUCUAAUCCUUUUUGAC